UACAGAGGUCUCAAGCGUUGUUCGGAUUCAUUGGGCGUAAAGGGUGCGUAGGCGGCGCGGUAAGUCGGGUGUGAAAUCUCGGGGCUUAACCCCGAAACUGCAUUCGAUACUGCCGUGCUUGAGGACUGGAGAGGAGACUGGAAUUUACGGUGUAGCGGUGAAAUGCGUAGAUAUCGUAAGGAAGACCAGUGGCGAAGGCGGGUCUCUGGACAGUUCCUGACGCUGAGGCACGAAGGUCAGGGGAGCGAACGGG
rnacentral:rRNA from 1 species